UAGAGUUUGAUCAUGGCUCAGAUUGAACGCUGGCGGCAGGCCUAACACAUGCAAGUCGAGCGGUAGCACAAGAGAGCUUGCUCUCUGGGUGACGAGCGGCGGACGGGUGAGUAAUGUCUGGGGAACUGCCUGAUGGAGGGGGAUAACUACUGGAAACGGUAGCUAAUACCGCAUAACGUCUUCGGACCAAAGUGGGGGACCUUCGGGCCUCACGCCAUCAGAUGUGCCCAGAUGGGAUUAGCUAGUAGGUGGGGUAAUGGCUCACCUAGGCGACGAUCCCUAGCUGGUCUGAGAGGAUGACCAGCCACACUGGAACUGAGACACGGUCCAGACUCCUACGGGAGGCAGCAGUGGGGAAUAUUGCACAAUGGGCGCAAGCCUGAUGCAGCCAUGCCGCGUGUGUGAAGAAGGCCUUCGGGUUGUAAAGCACUUUCAGCGAGGAGGAAGGGUAGUGUGUUAAUAGCACAUUGCAUUGACGUUACUCGCAGAAGAAGCACCGGCUAACUCCGUGCCAGCAGCCGCGGUAAUACGGAGGGUGCAAGCGUUAAUCGGAAUUACUGGGCGUAAAGCGCACGCAGGCGGUUUGUUAAGUCAGAUGUGAAAUCCCCGCGCUUAACGUGGGAACUGCAUUUGAAACUGGCAAGCUAGAGUCUUGUAGAGGGGGGUAGAAUUCCAGGUGUAGCGGUGAAAUGCGUAGAGAUCUGGAGGAAUACCGGUGGCGAAGGCGGCCCCCUGGACAAAGACUGACGCUCAGGUGCGAAAGCGUGGGGAGCAAACAGGAUUAGAUACCCCGGUA
rnacentral:rRNA from 1 species